UACGUAGGGUGCAAGCGUUAAUCGGAAUUACUGGGCGUAAAGCGUGCGCAGGCGGUUUUGUAAGUCAGAUGUGAAAUCCCCGGGCUUAACCUGGGAACUGCGUUUGAAACUACAAGGCUAGAGUGUGGCAGAGGGGGGUGGAAUUCCACGUGUAGCAGUGAAAUGCGUAGAGAUGUGGAGGAACACCGGUGGCGAAGGCGACAUCCUGGACCGGUAUUGACGCUGAGGCGCGAAAGCCAGGGGAGCAAACGGG
rnacentral:rRNA from 1 species